AUUAAACGCUGGCGGCAGGCUUAACACAUGCAAGUCGAGCGGGGAAAGGUAGCUUGCUACCUGACCUAGCGGCGGACGGGUGAGUAAUGCUUAGGAAUCUGCCUAUUAGUGGGGGACAACAUUCCGAAAGGAAUGCUAAUACCGCAUACGCCCUACGGGGGAAAGCAGGGGAUCUUCGGACCUUGCGCUAAUAGAUGAGCCUAAGUCAGAUUAGCUAGUUGGUGGGGUAAAGGCCUACCAAGGCGACGAUCUGUAGCGGGUCUGAGAGGAUGUACCGCAAACCUGGGACUGAGACACGGCCCAGACUCCUACGGGAGGCAGCAGUGGGGAAUAUUGGACAAUGGGCGAAAGCCUGAUCCAGCCAUGCCGCGUGUGUGAAGAAGGCCUUUUGGUUGUAAAGCACUUUAAGCGAGGAGGAGGCUACUUGGAUUAAUACUCUAGGAUAGUGGACGUUACUCGCAGAAUAAGCACCGGCUAACUCUGUGCCAGCCGCCGCAGUAAAAC
rnacentral:rRNA from 1 species